rnacentral:rRNA from 1 species
GCUAGCGUUGUUCGGAAUUACUGGGCGUAAAGCGCGCGCAGGCGGCUAUCCAAGUCAGUGGUGAAAGCCCGGAGCUCAACUCCGGAACUGCCAUUGAAACUGUUUAGCUUGAGGAUGAGAGAGGUGAGUGGAAUUCCCAGUGUAGAGGUGAAAUUCGUAGAUAUUGGGAAGAACACCGGUGGCGAAGGCGGCUCACUGGCUCAUUACUGACGCUCAGGCGCGAUAGCGUGGGGAGCAAACAGG